CCUACGGGUGGCUGCAGUGGGGAAUAUUGCACAAUGGGGGAAACCCUGAUGCAGCAACGCCGCGUGGAGGACGAAUGCCUUCGGGUUGUAAACUCCUUUGAUGAGGGACGAAUAAAUGACGGUACCUCAAAAACAAGCCACGGCUAACUACGUGCCAGCAGCCGCGGUAAUACGUAGGUGGCAAGCGUUGUCCGGAAUUAUUGGGCGUAAAGAGCGCGUAGGCGGUUUCCUAAGUCAGAUGUGAAAACCCCGGGCUUAACCUGGGACCUGCAUUUGAAACUGGGAGACUAGAGUACAGGAGAGGUAAGUGGAAUUCCUAGUGUAGCGGUGAAAUGCGUAGAUAUUAGGAGGAACACCAGUGGCGAAGGCGACUUACUGGACUGUAACUGACGCUGAGGCGCGAAAGCGUGGGGAGCAAACAGGAUUAGAUACCCCUGUAGUCCUC
rnacentral:rRNA from 1 species